rnacentral:misc_RNA from 1 species
UUUGAAAGAGUAAAAAAUCAUUGCCAAUUGUAAAUUAGUGAUGGUGUUAUUUUAACCGAAAAUAGAGGGUAUCUGUUGCCAGAGUUAGGCCUAAAAGUUUGCGUGAGUUUUGUUGAAAAAACGCCGUGCCGCUAAUUGUUUGUCUGUUAUGGAACAUCAACGAAGGCUAUCAUCGUCCAAUCAGCUCUCGACAAACGCGACACGUGACCCUGUAAAAGAUAGUUACUUGAUUGUGGCAAUCCAGUUGGAAGGCAACGAAAUUAUAGUGACGCCUUGACAAGUAUGUUUGUCAGGUGAAUUUCAGCCUUGUUUGAAAUAUUUUAUAUCAUGACCGAAAAUCACAGUUAGAAAAUCAACUAUAACGGAAAAGAAAAAAAAUGGCUUAUUGAAAAAGUAUUAACAUAGGAGCUUGCGAGAAAGAAAGCUAUAAACAUGGCUAAGAUGCUGAUAAGUCAAGUAAGGAACUUUCUUCCAACAACUGAGAAGAGCGAAAAAGCUGGAUUUGUACAAUUCGAAAAUGAAGCUACCGAGAUGACAAACAUAUCGAACGGUUCAGCAAAAACUGAGACGCAUACGGAUGAGGAGAAUGUCGAAAAAAUAUCCGCUUGGCAAGCCGGAUGGAAUGUCACCAACGCCAUACAGGGUAUGUUUAUAGUGACGUUCCCAUAUUGCGUUUUAGAAGGUGGUUACUGGGCUAUUUUUGCUAUGAUUGGGGUUGCUUGGAUAUGUUAUUACACUGGUAACAUUUUGGUGGAAUGCCUCUACGAAACUGAUGACAUGGGUAUGAGAGUAAGAGUAAGGGAUUCUUACGUGAGAAUAGCCGAAGAUGUCUGGGGAAGAAGUAUUGGUGGUCGGAUUGUUCAUACGGCUCUACUCAUUGAACUACUAAUGACUUGUAUUCUCUACGUUUUACUAUGUGGUGAUCUAAUGGUAGGACUUAUGCCUAAUUCCGAUAUGAACCUGGCGAGUUGGAUUAUGCUAUCCACGUUCCUUCUAGUACCUUGCGCCUUCCUUCGAUCCCUGAGGGCGGUUAGCUGGUUUUCAUUUUGGUGUACUGUUGCCCACAUGUUCAUCAACGCUAUUAUUAUCAUUUAUUGCCUAACGAAGGCAUCGGAUUGGAAAUUCGCCGACGUCCAAAUACGGAUUGAUAUCUGGACUCUUCCAAUAUCUGUUGGCAUUGUUGUGUUCAGUUAUACUUCUCAAAUUUUUCUACCAAGUUUGGAAGGCAGUUUACAUGACCGACGUUUAUUUAGACCUAUGCUGAAGUGGACUCAUAUAGCAGCUGCUGUAUUCAAGGCACUAUUCUCCUACAUAGGCUUCGUAACCUGGGGAUUUUCGACUAAAGAGGUGAUUACGAACAACUUAUCGAACGAUGCUUUGAAAAGUGUCGUUAAUUUGUUCUUAGUGGCCAAAGCAUUGCUCUCUUAUCCUCUUCCGUACUUCGCCGCAGUGCAGCUGUUGGAAACCGCCCUAUUUAAAGGGCGCCCUAUUACAGUGUUUCCACCUUGCUAUGAUUCAAAUGCAAACAUGACCGUCUGGGCUUUAACUCUUCGAAUAGGAUUAGUAAUUCUAACCAUGCUUUUCGCAAUAUACAUACCUCAUUUUAACGUUUUAAUGGGUCUUAUUGGAGCAUUUACAGGGAAUAUGUUGUCAUUGGUAUGGCCCUGUUGGUUUCACUUAAAAUUGAGACAAGGAACUUUAGGUCUUUGGCAAAAGACGAGGAAUUACGGAAUAAUAACGUUCGGUUUAGUCUGUAGUGUACUAGGAAUCUACGAUUCAGCUCAUGGUUUAGUUAGAGCUUUUCAGGGUCACGAGCCAAGACCUUUUCAGGGGGGAUAGGAAGAUUAGACAUCUUGCGACGCGACUCUCCUCUUAAAAAUUCCCACCUUAAAUGACAUAGAAUUUAUGUUUUAGACUAUGUAGAAAGUAUAAUAUUUGUGAUAACACCCAUAAGUGUUCAAGAAAAAAAAAAAAGAUAAUUUUGUUUAAACAGCAUGAAAUCAAAAAGAAAUAAUUAUAAAUAAAUGGAAA